rnacentral:rRNA from 1 species
GUUAGGAAUAUUGGACAAUGGGCGCAAGCCUGAUCCAGCCAUGCCGCGUGAGUGAUGAAGGCCUUCGGGUUGUAAAGCUCUUUAGUCCACGAAUAUAAUGACUGUAGUGGAAGAAUAAGCCCCGGCUAACUUCGUGCCAGCAGCCGCGGUAAUACGAAGGGGGCGAGCGUUAUUCGGAAUCACUGGGCGUAAAGCGUGCGUAGGCUGUUUUGUAAGUCAGAAGUGAAAGCCCAGGGCUUAACCCUGGAAUUGCUUUAGAAACUACAAGACUCGAAUUCGGGAGAGGAUAGCGGAAUUGUCAGUGUAGCAGUGAAAUGCGUAGAUAUUGACAGGAACACCAGUGGCGCAAGCGGCUAUCUGGACCGACAUUGACGCUGAGGCACGAAAGCGUGGGGAUCAAACAGGAUUAGAUACCCCGGUAGUCC